AUAUAUAUUGAUUAAAAGAAUCAACUAAUGAAUGCAUAAAUAAGUGGAACAAUGAAUCUAUGUUCCUCUCUUUCUCUCAAAUUAAUAAGCAAGUAAGGAAAAUCAAGAAUGUUUGUGUUUGUCACAUUAAGUUUGAAAUGCCUAAUGACAUCCAGGUGGAGAUGUGAGGUAAAUACCCCAGUUGUGCAGUGAGUAUCUAUGGUUGUAAAUUUCAAUAGCAAGAUCUCGCAUAAGCAUGCAGAUAGCAUUUCAAGUCCCAGAGUAAGAUAGUAUCACUUGGGAGGGAAUGAGGAAAUAAGGUUGAGAAGAGGGCUGAAGACAGAAGCCUGGUCCACCAACUUUAGAAGUGGGUUUCAGAGCAGAAGAAGAGGAAGAGGAGGUAGCAAAGAGGCUGGAAGCAGCUGUCCAUGAGGUCAGAGAAAAACCAGGAAAGUGUGGCCUCCUAUAAGCCAAAAGGAAAAAGUUUGAAGCCAAGUGUGAGAAAGGGAGGGCGAAGGGCAAGACAAGAUCAGGUGGUAUGUUAGGCUUUGUUGAGUAAUGGCCUUCUGGGUACAUGGGCAAGGCAGGUGGGGGGCAGGAGGCAUCACCUAGUCCUCCAAGCAGAACCUCAGCUGUGCCUCUCUGUGCUCCCACUGCUCAGCACAGCUCUGCCCCGUCCUUGCCUGCAGGACAGGUUGGUUGAUAAACUGAAUCCUCCUGUGAGCCUUGGCACAGCUCUGCCAACAGGAAGUGCAAGGACCCAGGGCCACACCCUCCCUGAAGGAGUUCUGGCUUGUAAGGGCCUUGAAAAGGUGGGCCUAGGGAGGCACAUGGCCAUCUCCUCCUGUCCAGCUGAUGUUUUCUGGGGGCAGAAAGUGCACCAUGACUCUUCAGUGUGACUCUAACAGGAGCAGGGCUCUCUCUUCCAUAAAGAGCCAGGACAGUUCUGAGAACCAGUGAGUUCCAGUCCAAUGAAUCAAGACUGAAGUGUUUGCAUUGGAGAGAAUGAGGAGAAUCUCAGAAAAUGAAAUAAACAGAGCAAGUGGCUGGAGCUGGAGAAGCAGCCAUGGGAACAAUGGCUCGGCCUUGCUGCCCAUGACUGUCUUCUCCAGAGGCCUUCCCCGGUGGUCUUCUCUAAAAAUCCAACCCUCGGAGGGUUCUUCUUUCCCUUCUCUGCUUUAUUGUCUCGGCUCUGCACCAAUCACUCCCACAUAUCCUAUAUUAUGUUUAUUUCUCUUGUUGUCCUUCUCCGCCACUAGAAUGUGAUUUCCUGUGGGCAGGGAUUUUUGUCUAUUGUAUCCCCACACUUAGAGCAGUGCCUGGCACAUAGGUUCUCAAUAUAUUAUGUUUCUAAAUAAAUGAUUGAACAAAUGACCCUAGUAGCUUUACACAGCCUGUAUCACGGAUAGCACUUCUUGGUCUUGGAUAUUUCUUGUGUUCAAAUAUAUUACAGAAUAAAACUCUUGUGAUGUCUUGUA